rnacentral:rRNA from 1 species
GACGUAGGGCGCGAGCGUUGUCCGGAUUUAUUGGGCGUAAAGAGCUCGUAGGCGGCUUGUCGCGUCGUUCGUGAAAACCCGGGGCUCAACUCCGGGCUUGCGGGCGAUACGGGCAGGCUAGAGUUCGGUAGGGGAGACUGGAAUUCCUGGUGUAGCGGUGGAAUGCGCAGAUAUCAGGAGGAACACCGGUGGCGAAGGCGGGUCUCUGGGCAGUAACUGACGCUGAGGAGCGAAAGCGUGGGGAGCGAACAGG